rnacentral:rRNA from 1 species
AGAGUUUGAUCAUGGCUCAGGAUAAACGCUGGCGGCGUGCCUAAUGCAUGCAAGUCGAACGGGAGCGCCUUCGGGCGUCGACCGUGGCGGACGGGUGAGGAGCGCGUAGCUGACCUGCCCAGGUGUGGGGGAUAGGCCUCGGAAACGGGGUGUAAGACCGCAUACGCUCAUGGUGGGGGACCGCCAUGAGGAAAGGCUUUCUUCGGAGAGUCGCGCCUGGAGGGGGCUGCGUCCGAUUAGCUGGUUGGUGGGGUAACGGCCUACCAAGGCGGUGAUCGGUCGCUGGUCUGAGAGGACGACCAGCCACACGGGGACUGAGACACGGCCCCGACUCCUACGGGAGGCAGCAGCAAGGAAUUUUCCGCAAUGGGCGCAAGCCUGACGGAGCAACGCCGCGUGCGGGAGGACGCCCUUCGGGGUGUAAACCGCUUUUCGGGGGGACGAAGAUCGUGACGGUACCCCCGGAAGAAGGCCCGGCUAACUACGUG